GAUGAACGCUGGCGGCGUGCUUAACACAUGCAAGUCGAACGAAGCACCUUGAUUUCUUCGGAAUGAUUGGUGACUGAGUGGCGGACGGGUGAGUAACGCGUGGGUAACCUGCCUCACACAGGGGGAUAACAGUUAGAAAUGACUGCUAAUACCGCAUAAGACCACAGUACCGCAUGGUACAGUGAUAAAAACUCCGGUGGUGUGAGAUGGACCCGCGUCUGAUUAGCUAGUUGGUGAGGUAACGGCCCACCAAGGCGACGAUCAGUAGCCGACCUGAGAGGGUGACCGGCCACAUUGGGACUGAGACACGGCCCAAACUCCUACGGGAGGCAGCAGUGGGGAAUAUUGCACAAUGGGCGAAAGCCUGAUGCAGCGACGCCGCGUGAAGGAUGAAGUAUUUCGGUAUGUAAACUUCUAUCAGCAGGGAAGAAAAUGACGGUACCUGACUAAGAAGCCCCGGCUAACUACGUGCCAGCAGCCGCCGUAAUAC
rnacentral:rRNA from 1 species